AACGAACGCUGGCGGCGUGCUUAACACAUGCAAGUCGAGCGAUGAAGCACCUUCGGGUGUGAAUUAGCGGCGAACGGGUGAGGAACACGUGAAGAAUCUGCCAUCAACUCUGGGAUAACUCCGGGAAACCGGGGCUAAUACCGGAUAUGAGCCUUGAUCGCAUGAUCGGGGCUGGAAAGUUUUUCGGUUGAAGAUGACUUCGCGGCCUAUCAGCUUGUUGGUGAGGUAAUGGCUCACCAAGGCGACGACGGGUAGCCGGCCUGAGAGGGCGACCGGCCGCACUGGGACUGAGACACGGCCCAGACUCCUACGGGAGGCAGCAGUGGGGAAUAUUGGGCAAUGGAGGAAACUCUGACCCAGCGACGCCGCGUGAGGGAUGAAGGCCUUCGGGUUGUAGACCUCUUUCAGUAGGGAAGAAGCGAAAGUGACGGUACCUACAGAAGAAGCACCGGCUAACUAUGUGCCAGCCGCCGCCGUAA
rnacentral:rRNA from 1 species